UAGCUCAGAGGUUAGAGCAUCGCAUUUGUAAUGCGAGGUUCAUCGGUUCAAAUCCGAU
rnacentral:tRNA from 1 species